GACGAACGCUGGCGGCGUGCUUAACACAUGCAAGUCGAGCGGUAAGGCCCUUUCGGGGGUACACGAGCGGCGAACGGUGAGUAACACGUGGUGACCUGCCCUUAGCUCUGGGAUAAGCCUGGGAAACUGGGUCUAAUACCGGAUAUGACUCCAUAACGCAUGUUGUGGGGUGGAAAGCCUUGUGCGGCUAGGGAUGGGCCCGCGGCCUAUCAGCUUGUUGGUGGGGUGAUGGCCACCAAGGCGACGACGGUAGCCGGCCUGAGAGGCGACCGGCCACACUGGGACUGAGACACGGCCCAGACUCCUACGGGAGGCAGCAGUGGGGAAUCUUGCG
rnacentral:rRNA from 1 species